rnacentral:rRNA from 1 species
UACGUAGGGUCCGAGCGUUGUCCGGAAUUAUUGGGCGUAAAGAGCUCGUAGGCGGUUUGUCGCGUCUGCUGUGAAAUCUGGAGGCUCAACCUCCAGCCUGCAGUGGGUACGGGCAGACUAGAGGUGCGGUAGGGGAGAAUGGAAUUCCUGGUGUAGCGGUGGAAUGCGCAGAUAUCAGGAGGAACACCGAUGGACGAGGCAGCACUCUGGGCCGGUACUGACGGCUGAGGAGCGAAAGCGUGGGG